AUACGUAGGUGGCAAGCGUUGUCCGGAAUUAUUGGGCGUAAAGCGCGCGCAGGUGGUUCCUUAAGUCUGAUGUGAAAGCCCCCGGCUCAACCGGGGAGGGUCAUUGGAAACUGGGGAACUUGAGUGCAGACGAGGAUAGUGGAAUUCCAAGUGUAGCGGUGAAAUGCGUAGAGAUUUGGAGGAACACCAGUGGCGAAGGCGACUGUCUGGUCUGUAACUGACACUGAGGCGCGAAAGCGUGGGGAGCAAACAGGAUUAGAUACCCUGGUAGUCCACGCCGUAAACGAUGAGUGCUAAGUGUUGGGGGGUUUCCGCCCCUCAGUGCUGCAGCUAACGCAUUAAGCACUCCGCCUGGGGAGUACGGUCGCAAGACUGAAACUCAAAUGAAUUGACGGGG
rnacentral:rRNA from 1 species